rnacentral:misc_RNA from 1 species
AGUUGAUAUCUUUUAUAGGAUCUCCAGAUUCAUCACCACUAACAGGGGCAAAUAGAUAUGCCUUUGCAGGGUCCCAUGGAGUGGUGGACGGCUCAACAUCAACAUCCAAAACAAUGCUCAUCAUUCUUACAUGAAAACUCUUGAGGGACGCCAACUGAAACUCUGUAACAUCUAUUGGCCCUCUGAAGACAAGAGUCGCCUUUGUUACUACAGUUCGAGCAAUAAAUAAAUCCAUUGACAUCGAUAAUACCUCUGCAUCCAGCUCGUUGCCA